GACGUUCAUAUCAUGUUGAAACACCGGUUCCCGUACGAUCACUGAAGUUAAGCAACGUCGAACCCAGUCUCUACUAAGAUGGGUGACGGAUUGGAGAUAAUAGGUACUGUU